CAAUGUCACACCAGAAAUGGGCUUCACGCAUUGUACCCAUGUGGGGAAUGGAACCCGGGUCUUCCUCAGCAUUCACCACCAGGAUACCCCGUCGCCCAUCUGUGGAACAUUUAU